UACGUAGGGGGCAAGCGUUGUCCGGAUUUAUUGGGCGUAAAGAGCGUGUAGGCGGCCAGGUAGGUCUGCUGUGAAAACUCGAGGCUCAACCUCGAGAUGUCGGCGGAAACCAUCUGGCUAGAGUCCGGAAGAGGAAAGUGGAAUUCCCGGUGUAGCGGUGAAAUGCGCAGAUAUCAGGAAGAACACCCGUGGCGAAGGCGGUUCUCUGGGACGGUACUGACGCUGAGACGCGAAAGCGUGGGGAGCGAACAGG
rnacentral:rRNA from 1 species